UACGGAGGGGGCUAGCGUUAUCCGGAAUUAUUGGGCGUAAAGAGCUCGUAGGCGGUUUGUCGCGUCUGCUGUGAAAACCCGCGGCUCAACCGUGUGGCUUGCAGUCGAUACGGGCAGGCUAGAGUUCGGUAGGGGAGACUGGAAUUCCUGGUGUAGCGGUGAAAUGCGCAGAUAUCGGGAAGAACACCCGUGGCGAAGGCGGCUCUCUGGAACGCAACUGACGCUGAGACGCGAAAGCGUGGGGAGCAAACAGG
rnacentral:rRNA from 1 species